AAAUGAGACCACAAUAAAUGCACUCGGAGAAUCUGGGCGCUGCUCUUUCCCCUUGACUGUGAAAGUGUCGCAAAAUGCGAAAAAGCGGGAAUGCACAUGCCCUGAUGUCUCCCUCGGUAUGAGUUCUGCUGCUGAAACUGAGAGGUCGCUGUACCUUUCUUCAUAAAUGAGACCACAAUAAAUGCACUCCGAGAAUCUGGGCGCUGCUCCGUCCUCUAAACUGUGAAACUGUUUCGCAAAACGCGAAAUAGUGGGAAUGCACAUGCCUUGAGGUCUCCCUCGGUAUGAGUCCUGCUUCUGAAAACUGAGAGGUCGCUGUGCCUUACUUCGUAAAUUAGGCCACAGUAACUGCACUUAGAAAAUCUUGGCCCUGCUCUUUCCCCUUGACUGUGAAACUGUUUCGCAAAAUGCGAAAAAGCGAAAAUGCACAAGCCCUGAGGUCAACUUCGGUGUGAGUUCUGCUGCUGAAAACUGAGAGGUCACUGUGCCUUACUUCGUAAAUUAGGCCACAGUAACUGCACUUCGAAACUCUGGGCGCUGCUCUUUCCCCUUGACUGUGAAACUUUCGCAAAAUGCGAAAAAGCGGUAGUGCACAUGCCCUGAGGUCUCCCUCGGUACGAAUUCUCCUGCUGAAAACUGAGAGGUCGCUGUGCCUUACUUCAUAAAUUAGGCCACAGUAACUGCACUUCGAAACUCUGGGCGCUGCUCUUUCCGCUUGACUGUGAAACUUUCGCAAAAUGCGAAAAAGCGCGAAUGCACUUGCCCUGAGGUCUCCCUCGGUAUGAGUCCUGCUGCUGAAAACUGAGAGGUCGCUGUGCCUUACUUCGUAAAUUAGGCCACAGUAACUGCACUUAGAAAAUCUUGGACAUGCUCUUUCCCCUUGUCUGUGAAACUGUUUCGCAAAAUGAUAAAAAGCGAAAAUGCACAUGGCCUGAGGUCUCCCUCGGUAUGAGUUCUGCUGCUGAAAACUGAGAGGUCGCUGUGCCUUACUUCGUAAAUUAGGCCAAAGUAACUGCACUUCGAAACUCUGGGCGCUGCUCUUUCUCCUUCACUGUGAAACUUUCGCAAAUGCGAAAAAGCGGGAAUGCACAUGCCCUGAGGUCUCCCUCGGUAUGAGUCCUGCUGCUGAAAACUGAGAGGUCGCUGUGCCUUACUUCGUAAAUUAGGCCACAGUAACUGCACUUCGAAACUCUGGGCGCUGCUCUUUCCUCUUGACUGUGAAACUUUCGCAAAAUGCGAAAAGGUGGGAAUGCACAUGCCUUGAGGUCUCCCUCGGUAUGGGACCUGCUGCUGAAAACUGAGAGGUCGUUGCGCCUAACUUCGUAAAUUAGGCCACAGUAACUGCACUUCGAAAGUCUGGGCGCUGCUCUUUUACCUUGACUGUGAAACUGUUUCACAACAUGCGAAAAGGCGGGAAUGCACAUGCCUUGAGGUCUCCCUAGGUAUGAGUUCUGCUGCUGAAUACUGAGCAGUCGCUGUGCCUUACUUCGUAAAUUAGGCCACAGUCACUGCACUUCGAAAAUCUGGGCGCUGCUCUUUUCCCUUGACUGUGAAACUAUUUCGCAAAAUGCGAAAAAGUGGGAAUGCACAUGUCCUGAUGUCUCCCUAGGUAUGAGUUCUGCUGCUGAAAACUGAGAGGUCGAUGUGCCUAACUUCGUAAAUUAGGCUACAGUAACUGCACUUAGAAACCCUGGGCGAUGCUCUUUUUCCUUGACUGUGAAACUGUUUCGCAAAAUGCGAAAUAGGCGAAUGCACAUGAUCUGAGGUCUCUCUUGGUAUGAGUUCUGCUGCUGAAAACUGAGAGGUCGCAGUGCCUCACUUCGUAAAUGAGACCACAAUUAAUGCACUCGGAGAAUCAUGGCGCUGCUCCGUCUUCUUGACUGUGAAACUGUUUCGCAAAACGCGAAAUAGAGGAAUGCACAUGCCCUGAGCUCUCCCUCGGUAUGAGUUCUGCUGCUGAAAACUGAGAGGUCGCUGUGCCUCACAUCGUAAAUGAGACCACAAUUGAUGCACUCGAAGAAUCAUGGCGCUGCUCCGUCUUCUUGACUGUGAAACUGUUUCGCAAAAAGCGAAAUAGAGGACUGCACAUGCCCUGAGGUCUCCCUCGGUAUGAGUUCUGCGGCUGAAAACUGAGAGGUCGCUGUGCCUUACUUCGUAAAUUUGGCCAGAGUAACUGAACUUCGAAACUCUGGGCGAUGCUCUUUUUCCUUGACUGUGAAACUGUUUCGCAAAAUGCGAAAAAGCGGGAAUGCACAUGCCCUGAGGUCUCCCUCAGUAUGAGUUCUGCUGCUGAAAACUAAGAGGUCGCUGUGCCUUACUUCGUAAAUUAGGCCAAAGUAACUGCACUUCGAAACUCUGGGCGCUGCUCUUUCUCCUUGACUGUGAAACUUUCGCAAAUGCGAAAAAGCGGGAAUGCACAUGCCCUGAGGACUCCCUCGGUAUGAGUUCUGCUGCUGAAAACUGAGAGGUCGCUGUUCCUCACUUCGUAAAUGAGACCACAAUUAAUGCACUCGGAGAAUCAUGGCGCUGCUCCAUCCUCUUGACUGUGAAACUGUUUCGCAAAACGCGAAAUAGAGGAAUGCACAUGCACUGAGGUCUCCCUCGGUAUGAGUUCUGCAGCUGAAAACUGAGAGGUCGCUGUGCCUUCGUAAAUUAGGCCACAGUAACUGCACUUCGAAACUCUGGGCGCUGCUCUUCCCUCUUGACUGUGAAACUUUCGCAAAAUGCGAAAAGGUGGGAAUGCACAUGCCUUGAGGUCUCCCUCGGUAUGAGACCUGCUGCUGAAAACUGAGAGUUCGUUGUGCCUAACUUCGUAAAUUAGGCCACAGUAACUGCACUUCGAAACUCUGGGCGCUGCUCUUUUACCUUGACUGUGAAACUGUUUCGCAAAAUGCGAAAAGGCGGGAAUGCACAUGCCUUGAGGUCUCCCUAGGUAUGAGUUCUGCUGCUGAAUACUGAGCAGUCGCUGUGCCUUACUUCGUAAAUUAGGCCACAGUCACUGCACUUCGAAAAUCUGGGCGCUGCUCUUUUCCCUUGACUGUGAAACUAUUUCGCAAAAUGCGAAAAAGUGGGAAUGCACAUGUCCUGAUGUCUCCCUCGGUAUGAGUUCUGCUGCUGAAAACUGAGAGGUCGCUGUGCCUAACUUCGUAAAUUAGGCUACAGUAACUGUACUUAGAAACUCUAGGCGCUGCUCUUUCCCCUGGACUGUGAAACUGUUUCGCAAAAUGCGAAAAAGCGGGAAUGCACAUGCCCUGAGGCCUCCCUUUGCAUGAGUUCUGCUGCUGAAAACUGAGAGGUCGCUGUUCCUCACUUCGUAAAUGAGACCACAAUUAAUGCACUCGGAGAAUCAUGGCGCUGCUCCAUCCUCUUGACUGUGAAACUGUUUCGCAAAACGCGAAAUAGAGGAAUGCACAUGCACUGAGGUCUCCCUCGGUAUGAGUUCUGCUGCUGAAAACUGAGAGGUCGCUGUGCCUUCGUAAAUUUGGCCACAGUAACUGCACUUCGAAACUCUGGGCUCUGCUCUUUUUCCUUGACUGUGAAACUGUUUCGCAAAAUGCGAAAAAGCGGGAAUGCACAUGUCUUGAGGUCUCCCUAGGUGUGAGUUCUGCUGCUGAAAACUGAGAGGUCGCUGUGCCUUACUUCGUAAAUUUGGCCACAGUAACUGAACUUCGAAACUAUGGGCGAUGCUCUUUUCCCUUGACUAUGAAACUGUUUCUCAAAAUGCGAAAAAGUGGGAAUACACAUGCCCUGAGGUCUCCCUCUGUAUGAGUUCU